CUGAGUCAGAAGAGUGUGUGAUUGUGGACGAUGAUGGACAAUUCUCUCUGAGGUUCUAGAACCUCAUCUAUGGAAGGAGACUAACAAUGCCCCUGCUUCCCAGAGUCAGCUAGGGCAGAGAGAAACUGACCCUGAAGCCCAACCUCCUCAGGCCCUGGUGUAUACAACUCCACACUCAAUACCACUUGGGAAGGUGUAGUGUAUACUUCACAGACUCUCCAGACCCUAAAGGUGACAUCCCAGGGGAGACUUAUGGACUAGACAACAUCUUUCUCCAGAUCCAAUGGGCUGCCUGGACCCCCAGCGAGUAUUUCCCAGCUCUCCUGACUUCUGCACUGGCUAAAGUCCUGCCCCAGAAUUGGCGGCCAUUUCUCCCCAUUCCUGGUGCUCACAGGCACUGUACUUGAGCCUUCUGGGCUAAAGGCCACCAAAGGCCACCUGCUCUCUGUUGUAUCCCUCUCCCUUCUAACGACAGAUGCUCCAAAGUUCAGACACGGACCCCAGAAGAGCGCAGACUUGGCCAGGAGAUUCCAGACAAGAAAGUGGCUGCCGGAA